ACGGUGACUCGCUCGCUUCUGAGCUAAG
rnacentral:sRNA from 1 species